rnacentral:rRNA from 1 species
UGGGGAAUUUUGCGCAAUGGGGGAAACCCUGACGCAGCAACGCCGCGUGCGGGAUGAAGGCCUUCGGGUUGUAAACCGCUUUCAGUAGGGAAGAAACCAUGACGGUACCUACAGAAGAAGCCCCGGCUAACUACGUGCCAGCAGCCGCGGUAAUACGUAGGGGGCAAGCGUUAUCCGGAUUCAUUGGGCGUAAAGCGCGCGUAGGCGGCUAUCUAAGCGGGACCUCUAAUCCCAGGGCUCAACCCUGGUCCGGGUCCCGAACUGGAUGGCUCGAGUCGGGUAGGGGCAGGCGGAAUUCCCGGUGUAGCGGUGGAAUGCGCAGAUAUCGGGAAUAACACCGACGGCGAAGGCAGCCUGCUGGGCCUUGACUGACGCUGAGGCGCGAAAGCUGGGGGAGCGAACAGGAUUAGAUACCCUGGUA